rnacentral:rRNA from 1 species
UACGAAGGGUGCAAACGUUGCUCGGAAUUAUUGGGCGUAAAGCGCACGUAGGCGGUAUUGCAAGUCGGAUGUGAAAUCCCUCGGCUUAACCAAGGAAGUGCAUCCGAAACUGCAGUACUUGAGUACGAAAGAGGAUCGCGGAAUUCCCGGUGUAGAGGUGAAAUUCGUAGAUAUCUGGAGGAACACCGGUGGCGAAGGCGGCAUCCUGGACCAAUACUGACGCUGAGGAGCGAAAGCCAGGGGAGCAAACGGG